CGUUGAAACACUGAUUUUCGUACGAUCACCGGAGUUAAGUAACGUUGAGAUUGGUCAGUACCUAGAUGGGUGACCGACUGGGAAUACUAGCUGCUGCAAGC